GCAGAAGACAGCUGCCCGCUCUUUCCAGAAAAGGUGCUGGAGAUAGAGUUUGUUGAAAGCCCUUUGGAUUCUAGUCACGGAAUUCACAAAGCCUUGCCUCCAGGCUCCUGAAAGGGAACAAAGAAACCCGUGAUUGUUAAUUUUCAAGUAA